rnacentral:rRNA from 1 species
CGGAAGGAUCAUUACCGAGUUAGGGUCCUCUGGGCUCGACCUCCAACCCUUUGUCUACCUUACUAUACGUUGCUUCGGCGGGUCCGUCCUGAAAAGGACCGCCGGAGGGUGGUUUCACCCUCUGGCCCGUACCCGCCGGUGGCCUCCCAUUAAAACUCUUGUCAAAACGUGUCGUCUGAAGUACAAAAUAAAUAACUAAAAACUUUCAACAACGGAUCUCUUGGUUCUGGCAUCGAUGAAGAACGCAGCGAAAUGCGAUAAGUAAUGCGAAUUGCAGAAUCCGUGAGUCAUCGAAUCUUUGAACGCACAUUGCGCCCUUUGGUAUUCCGAAGGGCAUGCCUGUUCGAGCGUCAUUAUCACCCCUCAAGCCCCGGCUUGGUGUUGGGCCCGCGGUGGUCGUUCGCGACUACCCGCCCCAAAGAUAGUGACGGCGUCCCAGAGGGAACCGGUACGAGGAGCUUUCACGAGCAUGUACACGGGACGACUUUGCGGGCGACGGUCUUUUUUUACUUUAAUAA